rnacentral:rRNA from 1 species
UACGAAGGUGGCAAGCGUUGUUCGGAUUUACUGGGCGUAAAGGGAGCGUAGGCGGUUAGGUAAGCCCUCCGGGAAAUCUUCAGGCUUAACCUGAAAAGGUCGGGGGGGACUGCCUGGCUAGAGGACGGGAGAGGAGCGCGGAAUUCCCGGUGUAGCGGUGAAAUGCGUAGAUAUCUGGAGGAACACCGGUGGCGAAGGCGGCAUCCUGGACCAAUAUUGACGCUGAGGAGCGAAAGCCAGGGGAGCAAACGGG